rnacentral:misc_RNA from 1 species
AGUGAAGAUAAUGAUACUUUGUUCAGAUAUAUAAUCUCACAGGAAAUUUUCUUUUUCCACUGAUGUACAUAAUAGUAAGAGAGGUAGCUCUAUCCCAUCUCAUAGAUCUCUCACUCUAUCUAGUAAUCAUGCGAAUGUCCGCAUUCAGACGUUUUCAUUGCAAAAUAGAUAUGAAGUACCAUCAUUUUCACUCUCUGAUUGGCCUGAUCUCUAUCCCUUGAACAACCAGACC